CAUGUUUUGCAGUUACAUAUUUUCAUUGCGUCAUAGUCCUGUAUAAAAGCUGGAAAACAGCAGAGUAUUUCAUACAAUGAUUGUAUUUUCUCAUAUAGCAAACAAAGAAGAAUGAAGGUCUCUGUUUGUUUAGUCCUCUGUCUGUUGUUAGUAUCUGUGGGAGUCAACAUGGCGAAUGAAGAAAUGCUUGAAGACAAUGGCCUUAUUCAUGAGCUUGUAAAAAG